rnacentral:lncRNA from 1 species
UCUAGCUUGUAUUCGAAAGGCCAAAGUCGGUCUUUAUUAAGAUAAGUAAAGAUAUUUUUUACAUGAACCACCAUCCUGUGAGCACCAGAAGACAAAUAGCUAGUCAGGGCACUGGCCGAGCCAGUGACAAGCCCAGCACAGACAUGCAUCACCUGUAAGCCAACUAAAAACCCACGAUAGUGGCGAAGCAACCCGCCUCCCACCAGGCUCUCAGGUCGUAGAUCAUCAUGCUCACCACUCCAGCCGGAUCUCUAGCUUGUACCGCUUCCAAUUUGGUUAAAUUGCAUUUGCUUAGCUUACACAUUAUACCUUUGAAUAUGACAUGCCUUCCUGUUUUUGGUACAUACUAGUACAUCUGUCUAUUAACCAUGUUCUUACAUCAAACUAAUGUUCUGGUGUAUCCCUCAUCAAUCACUUAUGAUGAGGCAGUCAGGCCAGUGGACCUGUGGCACCCCGGCUCAGAGAAAACCGGAAUGCCCCGUAUUCCAGCCCAGAGAUUGAGGAGAAGUCUUCUGGAAUAUGGCACUGCUCAGCAUAGAACAAACCAGCUUUCCAUUAUUACACGAAUAUGAAUACAAGGUCUCCGAUAUUACAAUGAAUAACAUCGGUACGACGACACUACGCCAUCCUCAGUUGCUCUAUGCAAGCAGCAGAACAACUCAAAGCAGCGGAAUAACUCUAGCAGCGGAACAACAACGAUGGUGGUGAACUCCACUUUGCAGGGACUCUGGCUGGAACGCUUAUCCUAGCUUGCAUGAACGGAAACUAUGAUAAGCAAGCAAUCAAAUCCGGCAUGACCUGCAAACUGGCAUGACACGCCAGGUCAGUACAUUGAAUGUACUUGCAAGCUCACAAUAAACCAGAAGCAUUCAAGACAGACAACAGCAUGGUAAUUACAGGUUAAACAGGAAUUAACAUGAUAUCAUCAGAAUAACAUGGCAUGACCAUCAUAAACAUGAUACAGCUAACUCAGCAUGAACAUAUUAAUCCGACAAUACUAGCAUGCAACAUGUUGACACCAUAUGCACCACUUAUUCUGUUCGAUUACCUCGUAACCAACAUAUGCAUCACUUACCAACCUCGGACAUCACACAAUCAUCUUAGGAUCAAAUCAAGCUUGGUAUAAACAAUACCGUAGUAAUAAAUAAGCGACCACAAGGAGCUUGAUCUUUACCCAUGAUUCUCGUAAUACAUCACGAAUAUACAACAACUUGGUAUCCUCAAUACCAUCGUGAUCCUUACGGCGAUCACAACCACGACCAACGAUGGGUCCCAAACCGUGAUCCUUACGACGAUCACAACCCGACCAACACUUGGCCCGUGAUCCUUACGGCGAUCACCACCCGACCAAUACAUGUCUCGUCUUGUUAUUAUUAAGCACAUUAUUCUUAUUACUGUUGACUCAUGGUGUGACCUUCUCUCGACCUGGGCCCUUAUCCGCGGGCACGGCUAUCGAUAGAUUUAAUAUACACUCUGCAGAGGUUAGUACACUGUACCCACACUACAGCACCCGUGGCCUCGCACUCCCAUUCGGGUGGACAAACGACGUUCCGACAAAACCGAUCUACUGCCAAGACACUCUCCCGGCCACUCCGACUCACUCCUCACUAAGCUAAGUCAUGGGUGGCCCCGAGCCUACCCCCAGACACAACGACCACCGUCGUGGCCCAAAACAUAAACGAUCCCACACGGGGAUCCGCCGGCUAUAACAACUACGGGAACACAAGGUUAUUCUCCGCCUACCUGAUCAGGGUAGCACGUGACCAUAACCUUCCCUCGUUGGAGGCACCGGUGAGAGGCACAACAAUAGACCCAGUUAGGACCGUCCCAUACCGGUAAGCGUGGUUGCACUGGUCAGCAUCGAUUCAGCGGCAUCAUGACUCAGCCAACACAUGUUCAAGUUCAAUUUAAUCCGGUUAACUUGAAUGCAAAUAUGCUGAGCCAUGAUAAAAUAACAUGAUGCCAACUAUAGAACAUGAACAUGAUAUCAACAUCAUCAUGAGAGUAUCACAUAACUUUCCACCAUACCAACAAUAACUCAUAUCCACUGAGCAUCGCAUACUGACUAGCAUGACCGUCUCCAACAUCAACAUGUAAUACUACCAAGCAUAAACAUAUGAAAGGUAAUACUAGCAGGUAUAACAUGAUCACAAAGUAUAAGACAACAUAGCACAAAAGCGAACAUGCAAAUCUGAGCAUCACCGGAACAACGAUAACCAUUUUUUUCAACAAGCAAACAUUAAUAAAGAUUCAAGUUGAAAACCAUGGCUACUGCAUGACUAUCAUGCAAGUGGGUAUUGUGGCUUGCCUGGGGAUGAAUAAGGCACCGGGAAGAAGUGCGGUGAAGCCACGGAACGAAUCGCCGGAAAACGUUCUGUCUCGGAGGGGGCUGAUUAAGGGCAGGGGCAAAAUGGUCAUUUUCAGUAUGCCAAAACAUAAUGAAAGUGACACCAACAGAAAGGGCUCGACGAAACAAAAAAGUGGGCGUUAGUUUCACCUCAUUCGGAGUUACGGAUAAAAAGAUAUGAGGGGUUGAAGUUCAGGGACUUUUCUGCAAAAAUUCCAUCACAAAUAAGUCCCUGAGUGGAUAAGACAGAAGCGUAAAAUGGGAAAUACACUUUCGGAAAGCAAAGACGUAAUCAGUGAAUUACGCCUCCACUUAUCCACGUCACCGUACCUAGGUCAACGCGGGGCUGGCGGUUGUGAGGCUGACUGGCGGGGCCCGCAGGAAGGUGGGACCCGCCACUUAUCCACGCUGGCAACGGGGUCAACGCCCGUCUCACUGCCAGCGGGGCCCACCGGAUCUCUCUCUCUCCCCUCCUCGCUCCUUCCCUUCUUCCUCCCGACGCCGGCUCCAGAACAGAGGAGGCCGCAUGCUCCGGCGAGGUGCCCGGGCGGCACAGGCCACCGUUCGAGGCGCUCCGGCCACCGGGGUGCUCGGGGAGGAACGGCGCGUCCAUCCAGGCGGCAUACGGAGGGUGGGGAAGUCAGGGGAGCGCGUGAUCUAG